UAGAUCUCCAUUGAGAUGCUUUAUGCGCGCAUUACACUUUGUUUGUUAUUGUUGUUGUUUUUUUUUUCAAAUUUUGCGUUUGAAGAGGUACGAAUGUAAUGGAACAACCACACCCGCGCUCUGUCUGUGGAGCUGGUAGAUCUCCGCAUUCUCCAGCCCUCGGCCCGAGUCCGCACGAGCCGGCGCGGGGCGUCCCACCCUCGACACGCGCGUCGCUUGGAGCCGCGUCUGGGCCGAGGUCCUGCUGCGGAGAACCGGUUCACUUUAACCGAAACCAAGUACAGCACCCCAGGACAAGCCCCACAGCCCAGCCCGCAGCUCUGGUCCGUCCGUGAACGGAACGACUGAUCAAAAUAAUAUUCAGUUGGGGAAAAUAGUUUUUCUUUUAAAUACAGACAACUGUUUGUCUUCACCUGUCUUUACAACAUAUAUAGCGUAGUCGUAUUUAUAUCUCAGCUACAGUCAGCUGCUACCAUACUGCGUAUGAUCUAAAAUGAUGAAUACAGUACGAUUUGACUGCUCGGACGUCCUCGGAACUGGCUGCCUGUGUGUGUUUUCUCUUCUGAUUAGUCUGACGUUACGGGCAGGUGAUUCAAUCGGUUAAUUUAGCGUGAGGAUUAAUCUUUUUCCUUCUGCUUUUUUAUUUAUUUUUGUUUUGUUUUUUUGUGCCCGGACAGGGGGAGAUGAUAGCCGGGCGGGUCGCCCGUACCCCCGCCGCCACAACUCCGUCACCCGCUGCCCGGCCUGCGCGCCUCAGCUGCCUUUCGGGGGCACGUCUGGAAUUCCGCUAGUUCUGAACUAUUCGGGGUUGGAAAAAAAGUUCACUACUAGCAGAACUCGGACUUGCACCCGGCUCUCCACGAGACGACCCGCCGGAGAGCGCCAGGCCACGCGGCGCGGCGCGGGGCGGGGGUAGGCUGUGGCGCGCGACCCGCCGCUCGCCCGUGUUUUGUCUGGAAGGAGGGGAGCGCGAGGGGUCGCUGUGCAGCUGACAGGCCCGGUUUCGAUGUGUCUUGUUUUGUUUGUUUUUUUUUUGCUUGGGUACUUGUUAGUUUGACACGCGAUAACGGGAAUGUUUUAUUGCUUCCAGCCAAAAAAUACUCAUAAUUCUAAUCCCACGAAUGCUUCUUGAAAGUGAUUAUCAAUACAAUUGAUCACAAUGGCAAAUACUGACGCUGAUUGGUAGCUUGAAGGCAGGUUAGGGUUUCUCAUUUUGAGAUCGACAGUCGCUUUAGAUUUUGUAAAGCACCAGUUUCAUUAUUUUUCAGAACCCGACUGAGUCAUCGGUGACUUUGAUGUUUGCAGAAUGAUUUAUGAUGAUAUUUUUUUGUUUGGCGUUACGAUGCCUAUGCUGUUGAAAGGACUGGAACUCGUUUUGCAUUGAUUAGUCUCGGUGCCCGCACGAGCGGAAUGAGAUCUGACCGAUGCGCGCGGUCAGUGAGUCCAACUGUCCACCCGGAAACUGCAGCGGAACCGGGCCCAGAGAGUCGGGGGGUGCGUGCAGACAGACGCGGGGACAGUUCAAAUCUGUUUCAUAUCGGCCUCACGUCUCUUGGCCCUGAGCGCCUUGUUUCCGGUCCUGCAGCAGCGCUGUUCGAAAAUGAACAGAUACUCUCGCGCCCAUCCUGCGGCACGCGGACGGAGCUGGACACGCGGUGUGACGCAGGGUGACGCAGGGCAUUUUCUGUGACGCAUGAGCCUGCGAGUGCUCCGUCCUCUGCGCGCUGGGCCUGCGGGGCUCGGCUCGGCUCGGAGGUGCAGGAGAGGAACUGGCCCGUCUGCGGUGCUGAUCUUAUCCCCUUCUCCUCCUCAGCGGAUUCUGUCCGUCCUUGUCUUGUCAAUGAGGGUCUCCGGAGGGGAACACGUGGGAACAAGAUUUCUCUAAAUGCCUCGUAAAGACACUGAGCUGAGGCACCACUGCGGUCUGGGGGCCCCACCAUGGCUGUGGGCAUCAGGGAACCGGACGUGUUUCUCAGGACGGGCGUUCCGAGAUCUGCAGAGAGCACAAGGGAUCGGCAGACGGCAGAAAGUGCCCCACAGCUGCCCUGCGACCGAUCUUACACAUCUGCUCACUGGGUGUGAGAUGAGGGGUUCGUUUUUAGGCCGUGGCUGCAAUGUCUUCUGACAUUUGCAGGUUGCUCCUAGGGUCACCCCUCGACACUCUGACCCCUGACCCCUGUGAGGACAGCACCCUUCCUCGCUGUGCUGUGAGACAGGAGAUUGAGCCCCGGGUUCUGGCUGCCCUGCGGCCCCCAUCUGAGCUCUCAGCACCUGGGGUGAUGCUUCAGCUCCUGCGCCCCGGUCUCCUGUGAGUCUGGCAACAGAGAGUGUGGAGCAACGCGAGUCCAGUGAGGGAGAACCCCCGAGAAUGGCGGUGUGCGGCUGGGGGUGAUGUCAUUCUCCGCGUCUUUCAUUGACGCGGAGCUGUAGACCGUCAGGGCAGUGGUUAGUGCUGCUGCUUCACAAGUGGGGCCUGGGGUCAAUUCCAGACGCGGGGUGCUGUCUGGGUGGAGUUUGCAUGUUCUCCCCGUGUUUGACUGGGUUUCCUCCUGCGGUCCGAAGACGUGCUGAUGGGUUAACUGGCGUCUGGGGAAACGGGCCCUGUGGUGUGAGUGUGCCUGUGUGUGUACCCCGCCUGGCUCCUGUUGCCCACUGCCCCGGCUCCCCCUGUACUGGAUGAAAGCGGUUGUGAAAUGGGUGGGUUGAUGGAUGUAGAACAGUAGCCGGGCUUUGGAAAAAACGGAAGGUCGUGCACAUGAGCGGAAACACCUCUGAGAGUCUCCCCUCUCCCUCCUUGUGACCUGCCGGGCUGGGGUCCCGAUCCAGACACACGCCAGACACGGGUCGUUCGUCUUCCUGCCCGCACUGCUGCAGGGUGCACGGGGAGCCCUGCCCUGCACCCCGUUUUCAACGCCGCAGCGCCACAUCCAGACACGUCAUCCUUCCAGCCUGCUGCACUCCCCCCCCCCCC